GUGGGGAAUCUUGCGCAAUGGGCGAAAGCCUGACGCAGCCAUGCCGCGUGAAUGAUGAAGGUCUUAGGAUUGUAAAAUUCUUUCACCGGGGACGAUAAUGACGGUACCCGGAGAAGAAGCUCCGGCUAACUUCGUGCCAGCAGCCGCGGUAAUACGAAGGGGGCUAGCGUUGCUCGGAAUUACUGGGCGUAAGGGCGCGUAGGCGGACAGCUUAGUCAGAGGUGAAAGCCCAGGGCUCAACCUUGGAAUUGCCUUUGAUACUGGCUGUCUUGAGUACGGGAGAGGUGAGUGGAACUCCGAGUGUAGAGGUGAAAUUCGUAGAUAUUCGGAAGAACACCAGUGGCGAAGGCGACUCACUGGCCCGUUACUGACGCUGAGGCGCGAAAGCGUGGGGAGCAAACAGGAUUAGAAACCCUGGUAGUCC
rnacentral:rRNA from 1 species